GAGGGAAAGGCGAAAAGAACCCCGGCGAGGGGAGUGAAAAAGAACCUGAAACCGUGUACGUACAAGCAGUGGGAGCCUCUUAAUGGGGUGACUGCGUACCUUUUGUAUAAUGGGUCAGCGACUUAUAUUCUGUAGCAAGGUUAACCGAAUAGGGGAGCCGAAGGGAAACCGAGUCUUAACUGGGCGCUAAGUUGCAGGGUAUAGACCCGAAACCCGGUGAUCUAGCCAUGGGCAGGUUGAAGGUUGGGUAACACUAACUGGAGGACCGAACCGACUAAUGUUGAAAAAUUAGCGGAUGACUUGUGGCUGGGGGUGAAAGGCCAAUCAAACCGGGAGAUAGCUGGUUCUCCCCGAAAGCUAUUUAGGUAGCGCCUCGUGAAUUCAUCUCCGGGGGUAGAGCACUGUUUCGGCAAGGGGGUCAUCCCGACUUACCAACCCGAUGCAAACUGCGAAUACCGGAGAAUGUUAUCACGGGAGACACACGGCGGGUGCUAACGUCCGUCGUGAAGAGGGAAACAACCCAGACCGCCAGCUAAGGUCCCAAAGUCAUGGUUAAGUGGGAAACGAUGUGGGAAGGCCCAGACAGCCAGGAUGUUGGCUUAGAAGCAGCCAUCAUUUAAAGAAAGCGUAAUAGCUCACUGGUCGAGUCGGCCUGCGCGGAAGAUGUAACGGGGCUAAACCAUGCACCGAAGCUGCGGCAGCGACGCUAUGUGAUGUUGAGUAGGUGAGCGUUAUGUAAGCCUGUGAAGAUGGCCUGUGAGGGUUGCUGGAGGUAUCAGAAGUGCGAAUGCUGACAUAAGU
rnacentral:rRNA from 1 species